rnacentral:rRNA from 1 species
UAUCAAUAAGGCGGAGGAAAAAGAAACCCAACAGGGAUUGCCUCAGUAACGGCGAGUGAAGCGGCAACAGCUCAAAUUUGAAAUCUGGCCCUUUCAGGGUCCGAGUUGUAAUUUGUAGAGGAUGUUUCGGGUGUGGCUCCGGUCUAAGUUCCUUGGAACAGGACGUCAUAGAGGGUGAGAAUCCCGUAUGUGACUGGUAGCCUAUGCCCAUGUGAAACUCCUUCGACGAGUCGAGUUGUUUGGGAAUGCAGCUCAAAAUGGGUGGUAAAUUUCAUCUAAAGCUAAAUAUUGGCCAGAGACCGAUAGCGCACAAGUAGAGUGAUCGAAAGAUGAAAAGCACUUUGGAAAGAGAGUUAAACAGUACGUGAAAUUGUUGAAAGGGAAGCGCUUGCAACCAGACUUGCAUGUAGCUGAUCAACCGGUGUUCUCACCGGUGCACUCAGUUGCGUUCAGGCCAGCAUCGGUUUCGACGGUUGGAUAAAGGCCUUGGGAAUGUAGCUCCUCUCGGGGAGUGUUAUAGCCCAGGGUGCAAUGCAGCCUGUUGGGACCGAGGACCGCGCUUCGGCUAGGAUGCUGGCGUAAUGGUUGUAAGCGACCCGUCUUGAAACACGGACCAAGGAGUCUAACAUCUAUGCGAGUGUUUGGGUGUCAAACCCAUACGCGUAAUGAAAGUGAACGGAGGUGAGAACCCUUAAGGGUGCAUCAUCGACCGAUCCUGAUGUCUUCGGAUGGAUUUGAGUAAGAGCAUAGCUGUUGGGACCCGAAAGAUGGUGAACUAUGCCUGAAUAGGGUGAAGCCAGAGGAAACUCUGGUGGAGGCUCGCAGCGGUUCUGACGUGCAAAUCGAUCGUCAAAUUUGGGUAUAGGGGCGAAAGACUAAUCGAACCAUCUAGUAGCUGGUUCCUGCGAUU